rnacentral:rRNA from 1 species
GAUGAACGCUAGCGGCAGGCUUAACACAUGCAAGUCGAGCGCCGUAGCAAUACGGAGCGGCAGACGGGUGAGUAACGCGUGGGAACGUACCUUCUGGUUCGGAAUAACUCAGGGAAACUUGAGCUAAUACCGGAUAAGCCCUUCGGGGGAAAGAUUUAUCGCCGGAAGAUCGGCCCGCGUAAGAUUAGCUAGUUGGUGAGGUAAUGGCUCACCAAGGCUACGAUCUUUAGCUGGUCUGAGGGGAUGAUCAGCCACAUUGGGACUGAGACACGGCCCAAACUCCUACGGGAGGCAGCAGUGGGGAAUAUUGGUCAAUGGAGGAAACUCUGAACCAGCCAUCCCGCGUGCAGGAAGAAUGCCCUAUGGGUUGUAAACUGCUUUUAUCUGGGAAGAAAAGCCGGCAUUUAUGUUGGUCUGACGGUACCAGAGGAAUAAGCACCGGCUAACUCCGUG